rnacentral:lncRNA from 1 species
GGCAAAGGACCAUUUCCAAGUGAUAUCACGCUAAUUGACCGCAGGAACUUCAACAUCUCGCAGCAAAACUUCAUCGUCGAUUGCUCAAGGCCCUUUCUCCGACAGAAAACCACCAGGACCGUUGAGUCACAAGGACCGUUUCCGGAAGAACUAUCCAGCGGACAUCUUCACUGACAGUCCGAAUCCGGAGGCCACAACGUAGACGCAGACAGAGCCGAUUGUCGAGGGCAAGCAAUAACGAACGAGAGGGCGCAAGCAUAAUUCAUCGGUACUGACCAGUCGUGACGACGGUGUGCCUUGAACGUGCUGACAUCGAUUGCAAAUUGCACGUGCACAACGGGUGUGCAAAGAACAAGUGCUUCGCAGGGAACAACACAAGCCACGGAAAACCCCUUUACAGGGGUUUUUCUCCUAUAUUUACAGUUUUUCACCACAAACUGCGGUGGUCCGGCUGAAGCGAUCCACGGACGGUCUCCAAUUGCAUCCAUACUCAGCACGCAGUUCUAAAGCACACUCCGAUCUCAGUUGGCAUUCGCACCGCGACGUUCGAAGGACCCAGAGAUGGAUGGAGCUCAGCAAAAGUCGACCGCGCAGUCGGUCACGAAAAUGUCGGCGGGGUUCUUAGCGAUGGUGGCCCAUUAGCUCCGGUACCGUGAGUACCAACACCCUUAGGUUAAGCAAAAUUUGUAAGGGGAAUGUACGUUAGAGUUAGACCCACUAGCUAGAGCAGGAACUAGGGGGGAAAGAUGAUCAUGUCGUUCAAUAUAAGUAUUUAAAAUGC